rnacentral:rRNA from 1 species
CCGGCGACAGGCGCACGGGUGAGUAACACGUAUGCAACCUGCCCUCCGCAGGGGGAUAACCCGGAGAAAUCCGGACUAAUACCGCGUGGUACAUCUGUGGGGCAUCCCACGGGUGUUAAAAGGAAGCGAUUCCGGCGGAGGAUGGGCAUGCGGCGCAUUAGCUAGUUGGCGGGGUAACGGCCCACCAAGGCGACGAUGCGUAGGGGUUCUGAGAGGAAGGUCCCCCACACUGGUACUGAGACACGGACCAGACUCCUACGGAAGGCAGCAG